rnacentral:rRNA from 1 species
UACAGAGGGUGCAAGCGUUAAUCGGAAUUACUGGGCGUAAAGCGAGCGUAGUCGGUUAUUUAAGUCGGGUGUGAAAGCCCCGGGCUCAACCUGGGAAUGGCAAUGGAUACUGGCAGGCUAGAGUGCGGUAGAGGGUAGUGGAAUUCCCGGUGUAGCGGUGAAAUGCGUAGAGAUCGGGAGGAACACCAGUGGCGAAGGCGGCUACCUGGACGAUAACUGACGCUGAGACGCGAAAGCGUGGGGAGCAAACAGG